rnacentral:lncRNA from 1 species
UGAAUCAGUAGGAAAAUUUGAAUAGAAGACCUUGAAGUUGAGUCAUUAGUGAUGCUGGGCUACAGAGUAGGACUGUUCAUCUAUGUCACUAAAAUGGAAAAAAAAAAAAUUGGUUGUCAUUGUGGAAGAGGUUUAGGUUUAGAUUAAAACUUGUUCUCUUUAAAGUCACCAAGAAUGAUGACAUAAGAGGAAAAUUGUGAUUCAGGUGCUAGAAUUGCUCGUAAGUAUGAAGAAAUGUUCUAAAAAAGCAGUAGAUGACAAAUCACUAUAGCCUAGACUUAAGGGAAAAUAGUUUUUAAUGGUUUAAGGUUUUAAAAUGUUAGCAUCAAA